CGCGUAGGCGGUCAUGUAAGUCUUGUGUGAAAUCCCUCGGCUCAACUGGGGAACUGCACAGGAUACUGCUUGGCUUGAGUUCGGGAGAGGGAAGCGGAAUUCCGGGUGUAGCGGUGAAAUGCGCAGAUAUCCGGAGGAACACCGGUGGCGAAGGCGGCUUCCUGGACCGAAACUGAUGCUGAGGCGCGAAAGCUAGGGGAGCAAACG
rnacentral:rRNA from 1 species